UGAGAUGUUACCAGUGCAAAUACAAAUACAGUUCAUCUGAAGAAUGCAAGCAAAAUCGAACAAAAUGUCCUCUGGAGUGUGGCUCUGUCACCAUAUACAGCGAUGGCGGUACAUUAUAUAACAGUAAGAAGAACUGCACAGAUCCUGCCUUGUGUGUUAUUGACAGUAUAAACUUUGAACAAAACGAAACAGUCUUUAAUCCCCAAUGCUGUGACACUGACCUCUGCAACACUGAAGAGGCACCAGCAAUGCCACGAUAUUCCAAUGGGAUGAUGUGUUACACUUGUGACUUAUUUAGUAGAGACUGCUCAAAAAUUGUGACCUGCUCAGGUGAUGAGAACAAGUGCUUCAGUAUAAAAGAAAGUAUAACUGGCAUAAAAACAAAAGGAUGUGGGAACAAUGUAAUCUGUGAGAAUAGUGUAUUAAAUACUCUGGGGUCUAUGGCUGGUGCUCAGACGACGUGCUGUGCAGGAAUUCUCUGUAACAGCGGUCAGUGCUUGAAACAGAGUCUCUUCCUACUGCUGGUGCCGCUUCUUUCUCUCUUUUCCCUCUGAUAUGUUUUUGGAUCUCUAGAAUUUUUCUGUGAUUUAUAGACAUCCAGUAAGAAUUUUUUUUUUAGUAGUAGUAGUAGUGGUAAAUUAAGAAUAUUUAUAUAUAAUCAUGAUGGUGCUUCUUCUUCUUCUUUUUUUUUU